UCGGGAAUUUUGGGCAAUGGGCGAAAGCCUGACCCAGCAACGCCGCGUGAAGGAUGAAGUCUCUCGGGAUGUAAACUUCGUAAGAAUAGGAAGAAUAAAUGACGGUACUAUUUGUAAGGUCCGGCUAACUACGUGCCAGCAGCCGCGGUAAUACGUAGGGACCAAGCGUUGUUCGGAUUUACUGGGCGUAAAGGGCGCGUAGGCGGCGUGGUAAGUCACUUGUGAAAUCUCCGAGCUUAACUCGGAACGGUCAAGUGAUACUGCUGUGCUAGAGUACAGAAGGGGCAAUCGGAAUUCUUGGUGUAGCGGUGAAAUGCGUAGAUAUCAAGAGGAACACCUGAGGUGAAGACGGGUUGCUGGGCUGAUACUGACGCUGAGGCGCGAAAGCUAGGGUAGCGAACAGGAUUAGAUACCCACGUAGUCCCUGAGCGGGCUGGCAAGGCGCAU
rnacentral:rRNA from 1 species